AAUAAGAUCUUGCACGUAUUUUCAAGAUCCGCAAAUUCAGCUAAAAAGAAUGAAUUCUUUGAAUCAUAAUAAUAUAUAAAUGUAUUUCCAAAUUCGGUCAUAAAGUUUUUGAUUGAAUACUGAAUGAGUGAAACAUAAUUUGAAAUUGGAAGGACCAAAGUGAAAUUCAGAGAAAUAUCCUAUCUGGGUUGACGGAUUUAUCAAGUAUUAGUGGCAGUACAAUAAGUUUCCUUUUCUGUUCUGUUUGGAUCAGAGGAAAAUUCUGAUCGAAAGUGUGAAAAGAAAACUUGAAAUCGGGAGUAUCAGAGUGAAAUUGAGAUCAUUUCUGCGUCUGGGUUUUGAAUAGUUUUUGAAGUUAUGUAGAAAGAGAUUGGCAUUUAGAUCAAUCAGUGAAAAGCUUUUGGUCCAGUUUUGUUUGAAGAAACAGAGUGACUUGUGGAAAAAUUUCAGGGGAUUCUAAAAAAAUUGAGCUGCUCGGGAAAGUUUGAGCUGAAAGAUAAUUGAAAGGUGUGGAAUUUCAGAGUGAAAAUCAAUCCAAGAUGAGUGGGAAAGAGGGGGUGAAGCUUGAAGACGAUCAGGUCGCUGAAUUACAAGACAUUUUUCGAUCAUUUGAUUGUAAUAAGGAUGGGAGUUUGACACAACUUGAGCUCGGAUCACUGAUCCGAUCACUAGGCCUUAAUCCUAGCCCGGCGCAGCUGGAGGCAUUGAUUCAAAAGGCGGAUAAGAACAGCAAUGGAUUGAUCGAGUUUUCGGAAUUUUUGGAGCUUGUGGAGCCGGAUCUUUUACCUGCCAAAAGUCCCUAUACAGAGGAGCAGUUGAAACAGAUAUUUAAGAUGUUUGAUAGGGAUGGAAAUGGAUAUAUCACGGCGGCAGAGUUGGCACAUUCGAUGGCAAAGUUGGGGCAUGCGCUUACUGUGGAGGAGUUGACUGGGAUGAUCAAGGAGGCGGAUACAGAUGGCGAUGGAUGUAUCAAUUUUCAAGAGUUUGCUAAGGCAAUUACUUCUGCUGCAUUUGAUAAUUCUUUGGGUUGAAGGUAUUGGAAUUGUGGUGUUAGUCUUUGUUCUGCCUUUUCCCUUUGAUUUUUCAUAUGUUUGGAUGCUGAGGAAUUGAUGGAAAUAUAAUUGAAAGGGAAUAGGCAUGCCCUGAGCUAACAGGAGUGAUCAAGGAGGUCCACACGGACCACACCAAUGGAGGCAAAUAUGGAUUGUGCAAUUUGAUUUUACAAAAUGCAUGUGUUUGUGGUUGAGGCUGUGACUUUACAUGUAUGUGUUUGUGCUCACACAUAUAAGUGUAGUUCACUGGGGUUCUAUUAGAUAUAUCUCUAUAUGUCGACAACAGAGGAACUUGUAGAAAUUGGGAAUUUUUCUGUGGCUGCUGGGAGCUGAUUUAGGUUGAGUCACACGCUCCUCUUCUCCUCUUUCUCUAUACACGAGUAUAUAGAGGAUUACAAGAUUGCGAUUAGCAUGUCUUUUUUUGCAGAUAAGGAAGAACCUCACUUCUCUUUCCAUUUUCUUUUUUGUGUCAAAUUGUAACAAUCAUACGUACGUACAUAUGUGCAUGUUGCAGUGUAUAUGAUUCUGUGGACUUUUAAUUUUAGAAUUAAAUUUCAGCUAAAAAUUGCAAGUUUC